ACAAAGAGUUCACUUGCCAAGCAGGACGUGGUUUUCUGGCUUAAAAGCUGCUCUCACACCUGGUUUGCUGCUGACCUGAUCCUACCCUGCGUGGAGGCUCUCAGGCAGUCGCUGGCCAGCUAACAAAGGCUCAUUCUAAAAUCUCAGUUGGCGAUCCGUACAUUUUGGUGUUUGUCGGUUGGCACCUUGGUUCGGUUCUGACUCCAGAACACUGGGAGGGGAGGAAACUUCAGGAAGCAGUGCUUUUCCUUGGAGGAGAUAGGCCCCUGGGAGUAUUUCUGAAAGGUUCUCACUUCCUUCAAAUUCAAAAUGUUUAAGGAAGUCAUAAAGAGUCUCGCUUGUAAUUCCAGUCUCCUUGUGGAAUUGUCUGACCAUGAGUAAAAUGAGCUACUUGAGCUGUUGCUUGGAUUCACUUGCUUUUGGGAUACUGGACUGAGGCUGAUGGUCUCUUCAGUUCCUGGCCACAUGAGCAAGAAGGGGAAGAAAGAAAUAAAGAUAUUCUAUGACAGUGAGGUUAAAAGUCUUUUGCAACCUCAUCGAGGAAGUGCAACAGUAUUACAUUCUACUGUGUAAAAUUAAGUCAUAAGGCCAGUCUGCAUGCAAGGGAGGACCUCACUCAAGGACAUGAGAACCAAGAGGGAGAUCACUGGAAAUGGAUCUGAGGUUUGGCCAUGUCAGAGGCUCAGUUGCAAGGGGACCUUCUUGCUGUUCAAAAAACAUUAUUUAUUGUAUAAGAUACGUAUUUGUCUAGGUUUGUAUAUGUGUGCCUGUGCCUGUAUCCAAACAAUAGUGUGCAAAUUUGAUUUGCUGUGAUAUUUUGAGGUGGUAAAAGCAACUGUGUUUCAGAACUUUUCUUUCUCUUAAAAGGAGGUGUUUUUAAAAAUUUGAUUAUAUGAAGUCUCUUUCUCAUUUAUGCUAUAUUGCAUUAGAAUGAAAAACAAUUAAUUAUGAAAACAGAAUUGAAUAAAUAAUAAUUUAGAUCACGAACAUGUCCUUUAAAAAGACAAGUCUCCUUAUUGCCCACUGGGGCCAUGUGGCAAGAAGAAAGAUCUAAAGUGUCAGCAACAAUGAGAAUUCUGGUUCUAUGCUGACCUGAGUUAUAUGGAAGUAAUAUAUAAAGUAAUAAGGCAAGUACAAAGGAACAAAAAUUGUACCAGUCUUCAAAGAUAGCAUGGAGGAUCUUUGUUAUAUACUAGGCAUUGUGUGGUACAGCACCAAUCUUGUACGUUUCGGUUGGUUUUUGGGGACUUGCCAUGUCUUAAGAUAUUUACAAUUAGCAAAUUGAUACAGAUGUUAUAUUCAGUAACUGUUUAUAUCAGGCUAUUAAAACAUUUACACUUUAGUACUAAUAUAUAUGUUACCUAAAAUAUAUCAGUUUUGUAGGAACUAAUUCACAACUUUAGAAUAAAAGAACAGAUAUUUAAAGUAAAUAACAUAAACUUAAAUCAUUGAGAAUUGUUAAUAACAUCUGUCACUAACUGUUACAAUUACAAUGGAAAAUCCUUUCACUAAAAUGUGGUACCAAAGGAUGAAGGGCAUCUUAAAUGGAUAGAUUUUAGAUUUAAUUAAAAUGUUAAGUUACUGUUGAAACAAAGGUCACAUCAUAAAAUCUAAAUGAAAGAAGUUCAUCACUCUCUACGCUAAUAUGUUCUUACGAUUUCAUAAUGAAUAUUGCAUAUUUACCAUUUAAAGGAUAAAUGAAAAUCAUUUUAUUUGAGUGGAUGAACUAAGAUGAUAAGGACUACUAUAAGCUCUACAUGUUGGAUACUAAAUUUCCAAAUAUUCAUGUUUUUAUCUGCAUAUGUGCCAUCCAGUAACUUUCAAACACCAUCUAGUUUUGUAUUAUUAUUUUGGCAGCAUUACGGGUAAGAUAACAAUGAGUUUCUUUACAUUAUCUAAGUACCUUUUGAAUAUUUACAUGUACAGUAUUAUGGUCAACAUUUUAUCAGAUUUUGCAUUGUGUAUAUUUAUAGAUAAUAUUCUGUAUUAAAUAAUAGUUUUUUAUGAUAUAUAAUAAAUGAAGCUAAGCGAGAUGCAAACUUUCAAAACUGAAGAAGGAUUAAGGGAAAUGAACACCGGAGAUUUGUUGGGGUGUCUGCAGCUGCUGUUUUAACUCGAAGGUGUUGGGAACUAUGGGAGCUGGAAACUGGUCAUAUGUGUGAAGGCAGGACAGAGACAGAGUGCCUGAGGCAGUCAAGCUACCUUAAGAAAAACAUCCUGCCUGGACAACUACAGCUGUUAGUCACUAGGCAACAUUACCUCUCCUGAUACUAACUUUGCAACAAUAUAAAUAAGUGCCCCUACUGUUGAAGUUAGAUCCUCUUGUCGAUCAGUUGAGGUCACCUCCUCUGACCUAGCUCUUAUCUCUGUCUUUAUUUUCCUCAUACUCACUACCAUUUCUCUCUGGGGUACAACGAGAGACCAACGAGGUUCUCUACACUAAGGUAGGAAUGUGGUUAAUAUAGUACAGUAAGAAUAUUUCUCUGGGAAUAACAAAAAUAUAUUAGUGAUUUUGGAAAUAAACCAGCAAAUAUUCCAAAGCUGUGUUCUGCAUAUCAACUCAACAAAAAAUGAAAGGGGAUAGGUAUGAUGGCACAUUCUUGUCUUCUCAGCAACUGGGGAGGCUGAAGCAGGAGGAUCACAAUUUCAAAACCAGCCUGGGAAAUUAGGCAAGACCUUGUCUGGACUUUUAAAAGAAUUUAAAACCAAGGACUGAACAGGGAGCCUUAGAUUCAAUCCCCCUUACUACAAAAACAAAACAAAACAAAACAAAAUAAAAUGUCCUCAUAAGCUGUCAAGGCAGAAACAGCAUAGCAGAACUGCAUGGCUGAGAAAAGUUUUACACUGCCUGGUCACCAGGAAGCAGAGAGAGAAGCAGGGAGUCUGGACAAGAACACACUCUUCUGGGCACAGCCUGAGGGAACCCCCAAUUCCCACUGGGUUUCACUUCCAGAUUUGAGACUUUUGGGGGACAUUUUUGGUCUAAGCUAUAGCAAUGAUGAUAACCCAAACAAUCAAGCACGAUAAAAAAACUAUUGCUGAACCUUUCCACAAUGUCUGCCAUUUGCAUUGAUUUUCACAUGUUAAAUCAAAUA